rnacentral:RNase_P_RNA from 1 species
GCUACCAACCGGGCCAUCGCGCUUUUGCGAAAGCAGGAGGGAGGAAAGUCCGGACAGCAAAGGGCAAUGCACCGGUUAAUCGCCGGGUCCUGCAAACGUGGGAACAGACAGUGCCACAGAAAAUUACCGCCUGCAGCCUUUCGGCUGGGGUAAGGGUGAAAACGUGGGGUAAAAGCCUACGGUUCCCGUGAGUAAUCGCCGGAACGGGUAAACCUUGCAUGCUGAAAUGCCACGUAAAUCCUGAUUCUUCGGAGGUGGGUGACCCGCCCACUGGCUUAGCCAUCGGGAAGGGUAGGCAGCUAGAUCGCUGCAGCAAUGCAGUGACCAGAUAAAUGAUGGCGCCCGCCAAAGGCGGGAACAGAAUCCGGCUUACAGGUUGGUAGCAUUU